rnacentral:rRNA from 1 species
UAACGCGUGGGUAACCUGGCCCAUACAGGGGGAUAACACUUAGAAAUAGGUGCUAAUACCGCAUAACAACAGAAAGCGCAUGCUUUUUGUUUGAAAACCAAGGUGGUAUGGGAUGGACCCGCGUCUGAUUAGCUGGUUGGCGGGGUAAAGGCCCACCAAGGCGACGAUCAGUAGCCGGCCUGAGAGGGUGGACGGCCACAUUGGGACUGAGACACGGCCCAAACUCCUACGGGAGGCAGCAGUGGGGAAUAUUGCACAAUGGGGGAAACCCUGAUGCAGCGACGCCGCGUGAGUGAAGAAGUAAUUCGUUAUGUAAAGCUCUAUCAGCAGGGAAGAAAAUGACGGUACCUGAGUAAGAAGCCCCGGCUAACUACGUGCCAGCAGCCGCGGUAAUACGUAGGGGGCAAGCGUUAUCCGGAUUUACUGGGUGUAAAGGGAGCGUAGACGGCAGUGCAAGUCUGGAGUGAAAGGCGGGGGCUCAACCCCCGGACUGCUCUGGAAACUGUACGGCUGGAGUGCAGGAGAGGUAAGUGGAAUUCCUAGUGUAGCGGUGAAAUGCGUAGAUAUUAGGAGGAACACCAGUGGCGAAGGCGGCUUACUGGACUGUAACUGACGUUGAGGCUCGAAAGCGUGGGGAGCAAACAGGAUUAGAUACCCUGGUAGUCCACGCCGUAAACGAUGAUCACUAGGUGU